CUAGCCGUAAACGAUGGAUACUAGGCGUUGAGAGGAUCGACCCUCGCAGUGCCGUAGCUAACGCGUUAAGUAUCCCGCCUGGGGAGUACGCGCGCAAGCGUGAAACUCAAAGGAAUUGACGGGGGCCCGCACAAGCGGUGGAGUAUGUGGUUUAAUUCGAUGCAACGCGAAGAACCUUACCAGGGCUUGACAUGUCCGGAACCCUGCCCAAAGGUGGGGGUGCCUACGGGAGCCGGAACAUAGGUGGUGC
rnacentral:rRNA from 1 species